rnacentral:lncRNA from 1 species
UCCAUGUCACGGCUAGCGCACGCGUCCGUCAUCGGGCGACCCUCCUCGCGGGCUAAGAGCAUCCUCGACCCCCCCGGACAAACCCUAACCCACUAGCCCCUCUCCCCCUCAGUUCCUCCCCUUCCCCAUAGCCCGCAACCGAGCUGCCGUGGCCAUGGUCGUCGUCGUCGUCGCGGCCACCGACUUCCCCGGCGCCUGAAAAGAUGUCCGGAGCUGCGUCAUGGACGUCUCCUUCGACUAGUGCUACCGGUUCGAGCGGGGAAGCACUACAUCACCGGGAUCGACGCGACUUCCUCGCCUACGGCUGCCGCUGCCCCGCGCCCGAUCUACCUCACCGGAGCUCCUUCGCCAUGCCGGCCGCGUCCUCCGCUUCCCCCGUGAGCUCCUCUCCCCAUUCCCCCUAUUUUCCCCUCGAUUUGGUCACGUAGGUCGCCGUUCCACCGUCGUGGCCACUUGCUCCCGUUGAGGCCGCCAUGGCCUGAGCUCCGUGCUCACCCGCAUGCGUAUGCCUGUCCGUGUCCAGUCCCCCGCGCCCCGCGCCUGCCCUCGUGUGCCCAGUCGCGCCCCCCUGGCCGCGCCCGGCGCGCCCCUGCCCGUCCGCUAGUUGCCACUCACGCGCGCCCGUGCUGACGGUUGCUCGUGCUGCUCUGUUGCUGCUCCUUCUGCUGAUCCCGCUCAUUGCCCUCGAUGCAUUCUGCUGCUGCUACUUGGUCGCAGCUGCGCCUGCUCCCUGCUCCUUGUAACGCUGCUGCUUGCUGUUGCUAAUGCCUACUGCUAUUGCUGCUAUCUGUACUGCUCAUGCCGCUGCUAUUGCUGGUUGCCAUGGCCGUGAGUUGUGUUCGUGUGUGUGCACGGCUGUGCCACGGCCGGCCCUUAUUUAGUUAGUAUAGGCUUAGUUAGAAGUACUACUAGUUUAGUGCUAAGUUAAUUUAGUAGUAGAAGACAUGUAGACCCCAUUAAAUAAGUUAGAUUUAUUUAUUUGUUUAGGUAAGUAGUCUAUGACAUGUGGGCCACACCUGCCCUUUUGACUAGUCAAAUUGACUUGGUCAAUUCGGAUUAAGCUAAAUACUCCCUCCGUUCCUAAAUAUUUGUCUUUUAGAGAUUUCAAAUGGACUACCACAUACGGAUGUAUAUAGACAUAUUUUAGAGUCUAGAUUCACUCAUUUUGCUUCGUAUGUAGUCACUUGUUGAAAUCUCUAGGAAGACAAAUAUUUAGGAACGAAGGGAGUAUAAAAAUUUCAGGAUAUGUUUAAAACUUAGAGAAUUCAUAAAAAAUAAUCCGUAACUCGGAUGAAAAAGUUUUCUACAUGAAAGUUGUUCAAAAAAAUCCAACGAAUCCGAAUACGCUCUCAAUUCAUCUGUCGCGCAUACCUAGCAUAGAGAACCUGCAACUUUCCCCCUCCGGUGCGUCUGUCCGAAAAUGCCUAACACCGGGAAAACAUUCCCGGAUGUUUCCCUCCUUCGCCGGUAUCGGUAGCCCUGCAUUAGAACACCCCUAGCACCGCUUAUUGUCAUGUCAUGCAACUGUGUGCCUUGUAUUUACUGUUUCUUCCCGCUCUUCUUUUCCGAUAGACCUCGAGACCGACGCUGAUGCCUCUGAGUACGACUACGUCAACGACGACCCCUCCUUGCCAGAGCAACCAGGCAAUCCCCCUCUUUGAUCAUCCCAAUAUCGCCCAUUCCAUUCUCUCAUGCUUGCAUUAGAUUUUGCUACUGUUAUUGUUUUCUCCUAUUCUGAUGCAUAGCCUGCUUUUGUAACCUGCUCAUUGUCUCUUAGCUGCUUAUCCUAAACUGCUUAGUAUAGGUUGGUUAGUGAUCCAUUAGUGACCUCCACCUUGUCCUUGUUGCCCCUGCUUCAUCAUCGAAGACCCGAUCAACGGGAUCGAAGACCAGGCCCCGGCACCGCACAUCACUUUCUCCUUAGUUGCUCGACACUACCGGGUUACUAUCGAGUGCCGAGGGUGAGACCUCUACAACACUUCUGAUGUUAAACCUGUAGUGUAGCUAUUUGGUCGUGGUCAUCGAGUGUGAUUCCGCCUUAACCACUUCCAAUACGACUCUGUCGUGCAACCCCUAAAGUGUGAACCUUGGGGGUGGUUCCUCUUACGUUCACGUUGAUGAUUACAUCGAGUGGAAUUCACUGGGGGUGAUUCCUCGGGUUUUCCCCUUGAUGUUUGGACACACAGAUACUUGAACUUUACCACUGUUGCUUGGAAAGGCGGGUCGACCCUGAGGGGUACCCGCGAGUGAUGUGGAGACGAGUUGACCUGGAGGGUGCUUGUGAGAUAAUUACGAGGCGUGGCCGGGCAUUUCUAGCCCUUGCCGCAAGUCCUCGAGACGGGGCAACGGGGUCACAUCUUUCUUGAGUCUCUGCUUGUUACCGUGCGUUCCUAAUCCACUAUGAUUUGGAUAUUUGAUCUGAGGGGCCUCUGGCCUGAUAGCACUAACCAUCACGUGGGCAUAGUAUGGACGUUCUGCAUCGUAUGCAUUAGCCGAAGCAUAAUAGACGUUAGCGACUGAGCGGCGCACGCCGGGUUGGACUGGUAAGCACCUGCCUUUUUUAAGGAGGUAGCUAGGUCUGCUCACCGGCCGCCCUCGCAACGUGCAGGAGUUCCCGGGGCGAUGGCCCAAGACCCCUGGGGGCAUAGGUUUAGUCCGGCGUGUUGACCUCUCUAUUAAGCCUAGGUCGGGUAUUGUUUGGCCGAGGCCGGGCAUGACCCAAGAAAGUGUGUCCGGCCAAAGUUAAUUGAGCAUGGUGGGUAAGUUGGUGCACCCCUGCAGGGAAGAAAACAUCUAUCGAUAGCCUGUCCUACGAUAACGGACACUUGGAGUUGUAUCCUGAUCGAUACAACUAGAACUGGAUACUUGUGAUGAGAAUUGGAUUGUGAUGAGAAAUGGAUAGUAUGGCUCUAAGAUUGCUUUUCUCGCAGGGAGUCGAGAAAGGAUCUCUGGCCGAGGUUGAUAACACUACUACUACUUUACUUUAUGCUACUCUACUCCCUCUUGUUGCUGCAAGAUGGUAGUUUCUAGAAGAUGCUAGUCUUCGAUAGGACUAGGCUCUUCCCUCUAUUCUGACAUUUCUGUAGCCCAGACCACAUAUACAACCUUCCUUUGAUAAUGUUGCAUACGUAGUGUAGAUCCUUCCUUGCGAGUACUUUGGAUGAGUAGUCACGAUUGCUUUGCUCCCCCUUUUCCUCUUUUCUUCUUCUUUCCGGUUGAUGCAACCAGAUAUCGGAGCCCAGGAGCCAGAUGCGACCGUCGAUGCCUACUACUAUGUGGAGACCGUCGAUGACCAGGAGUAGUUAGGAGGCUCCCAGGCAGGAGGCCUUGCCUUUUCGAUCGUUGCUACUUUUGUGCUAGCCUUCUUAAGGCAAACUUGUCUAACUCUUGUCUGUACUCAGAUAUUGUUGCUUCCGCUGACUCUUGUGUAUUCGAGUUUAUGUAUUCGAGCCCUCGAGGCCCCUGACUUGUAAUAUAAAGCUUGUAUUAUUUUAAUUUGUGUCUAGAGUUAUGUUUUGAUAUCUUUCCGUGAGUCCUUG